GCCUGGGACAAGCAGGCCUCCCGCGCCAGCAAAGGGCCUAUUAUACAGGAGGGCCACGCCCUGCACAUUCAUACCUAACCUGAUUUUUAAAAGAACUGUUUUUUUCUCCCCCAGUUUAAUUAUUUUCCACAGCUCAGCAACCAGUUGGGCUGCUUCUUUCUGACGCAUUUUCUUCCCAUCAAGAAAGUGGGGAGCCUCACUCCCCACCGGUGGGCAGGCUUUGCUGAGCUGGGGGACCCCGGGGGCCAAAGGAACACUGGGGACCCCCACCCUUUGCCAGGACAUGCCACCCAGUCACUUCUGGAUUGCGACCCACAGCCAUGGUCCUGGGAAGCCAACGCCUCCAUCCCACUAAGGACUUUGCGUCUUGCAGGCUGGGCUGGACGGACAGAGGAGAAGGUAGGUGAGGCUGGGGUGGCAGGUUCUCGGCUGUGUGUAGGUAAGUGGGCUUCCCUUCCUUCCCCUUGAAUCCAGGUCAAGCUCUGGAAGCCCCGCCCUUCGGCUCACCAGGCUGAACAGCUCAUCCUUUGCAAUAACAGCCCCUGGGAACAAGAGCAGAGACAGCUCAGUUCCCAAAGCAGCCAGAGCUUUGAAAGGUGUGGGUGGCAUUACGGGUGGAGAGCGCUGGCUCGGCGAUGCGGAUUCCCUCUUACCUGACGGUGUCUCCGUUCUCAGGCCCCACAGGAGCCCCUUCCUGUUUGAACUCAUUGCAGGUGGAGCGCCUCCACCACCCAUCGCUGUGGCCUGGUGACACCUGAGUCCAUCACCAAUCACUUUCAGAUGGAAGAAGAAAUGCCUUAAAAGGAAGAAACUCCUCCUGCUUCCUCGGAAUCUCAGCGUUGGGAGGGAGCAGCCAGUAUGUCCACCCAGUGCUUCUAAGCAAGACUACAUCUAGAAAUGCCCUUGAAAAGACUUGCACCGAAGGAGAUUUCACAACCCGCCUCAGCCAUCCAUUUCAAGCUUUAGGACUAUUUGCUGCAGAAAGUUCUUUGAGUCUAACUGAAAUACUUUAUAAAUGAUGGAAUUGGAGCUGAGGAACUGGGCCUCUGGCCUUGCAAAGGACAAAACGGGGGCAGUGUUAUGCCACGGGGAGGGCGCUGGUCCCAUCGUAGUGCUUACAGGGUUCUUUUGACUUCUUGGCAUCUCUGUCCUUCAGGCGUGUCUCUAGUUAUACAACAGCAAGAAGGCUGUGGUGGUUCAAAACUUUAUAGCAAUAAUAACAUUGGUGAAGUCUGAUUUCCUCAUUUCUGCUAUCCUAAUACUAGAAACGAUCCUGAAAUUGGAGAGAUUUAUAUUACACAUUAAGAACUCUCUGGACUGAGAAGCCCUGUUCCUGCUAUCAUAAAUUCCCUUCUUGGAGGAACUUUAAAAACAGGACUGAUUUCUUCCUUCCUAGAAUGUUUCAGGCACUUACCUGGGUAGGUGAUGGAAGGAAAAGGCACAUUUCCAGUGGGCCAUGGUCCCAGGCCUGGGGUGCAGAGAAAAUAAAACACUGUCCCCACCCUCUAGGGCUCUUGGCCCACAGGCUUCCUCAGGGUUCAAGCAGCAGUCCUCUUACUCCUACUCCCAGGACUGCCCUUUGCUCCUUCCAAGCACUCUGCCCCCUGAAAAGAAACUGGGUCUUAACUGUAGCUCCCAAGUAAGCAGAAGCCAGGUGGGGUCCCCAGGGGAAAGUGGUCAGGUCUGGAUCUGGUGGGAGAACCCUGACCUAGGACACCUUCAUAAUGGGGGGUCCACAGGGGGAUCUGCCAUCCCCAAGUCCCCAGGCUUGGCCCCUUCCCAGCAUUUGUGUAGGACUCUGGGAAAAUGCCCAGUGGAUCAGGCUGACUUCCCUCCGCAGCUCCCAUCAACACCCAUAAAGGAGGGUGUGAUGGUUCGCUUUAUGUGUCAACCCAGCUAAGCUAUAAAACCCAGUUAUUUAAUCAAACGCUAAUCUAGGUGUUGCUGCGAAGGCAUUUUGUAGACAUGCUUAAUAGCCACAGUCAGUUGACUUUAAGAGAAGAUUAUCCUCUAUAAUGUGGUUGGGCCUCGUUGACUCAGUUGAAAGUCCUUAACAGCAAAAACUGAGGUUUGCUGGAGAACUCUGCCUGGAAACCGUACCGUCGGCUGUGGCCUGAGUUUCCGACUUGCCACUUGCUCUCCAGAUUUUCGACUUACCAGCCCCCACAAUGGCAUGAGCCAAGCCUUUGAAAUAAACCGGUUUACAUAAAUAUCUAUCCUACUGCUUCUGUUUCCCUGUGAAACCCUGACCGAUUCCUGCCACAGCCCCGGUCUGGAUUCCCUGGGGCUUCGACAGCCUUCCUCAGGGAGAGGCCCUGCCGCAAGGGCCUGUGGGAAUUGCUCUGUGGGUGCAGCCUGUCCGGUGAGAGUAGCAGGUUGGGGAGUUUGGGCAAAGGAGCCCUGGGACUACCUUGGCGUGUGACUUGAGGCAAGUUACUUCAUCUCUGGGAGCCAGUUUCCUUACCUGUAAAAUGAGGCCAGUCAUUGCUCCCCGGCAAGACUGUUGAGUGAUUAAGGAGGUGAAAUGUGAAAAUGCCCGGGCAAUGCGCAGCUCACAAGAACCGCUCGGGAGGUUUUUGCUUAAUGUAGCUCUUCAGGGAGACCUGAGCAGGGCUUUCCUCGCUGGGGGAGGGCUGGGGAAGGGCUUCUGACGGGCUUCCUUCCCUCCGGGUGCUGGGUGACCUACCCGUCUGUGCCUGGCUCUCCUUCUGCCAUCUCCCAGGUACCUUCCAGCUCUGAGACUCUAUAAUUAUAGGGUUGCAUCCUAAAAUACAGAGAAGGCACUGAAAAUACUUACAGACUUGGAAAACAGAACCAGAGAGGAAAGGGUGAAAGGCACUGGGAUUAUUUAGCCUGGAGAAGGGGUGGCUUAAUGACACCCUUCUGAGCCUAGGGAGGUUCUUUGGACGUAGGCGCUGGCCAGCUUCUCUCCGCCCCUCCAGAGGACCAAACAAGAGGGAACAGUAGCUAACAGCACAGCUAGAGGGCUUGAAGGUAGACAGCAGGUGUCUGUCUUGCCUGCAAUAGCAUCUACUCCUUUAGAGGCCUUAGGAGGGAUUGGCAGAGCGGCCUUGUGAUAGGAAAUGGAUUGGGUAACCUCUGGAUUUCCAUCCUGUUUUUGAAUUGUAGAAACUAAUUUCCUCAGAGUAAAUAGGAAGAAAGGGAAAAAAAAACAGAGCAGACUGAACAGGUGUGACAGGGCUGGUCCAGCAGCACUCAUGACCCUGCCCUGGGCUGCACUGACUGUCUUCCUGGAGGUCCCGAGGC